GUGAUGUUUUGUGAUACAUGCACACACAGCUCUAACACUUACAUGACAUCCGGGCUACUGGAGGUGAUGUUUUGUGAUGCGUGCACACACAGCUCUAACACUUACAUGACAUCCGGGCUACUGGAGGUGAUGUUUUGUGAUACGUGCACACACAGCUCUAACACUUACAUGACAUCCGGGCUACUGGAGGUGAUGUUUUGUGAUACAUGCACACACAGCUCUAACACUUACAUGACAUCCGGGCUACUGGAGGUGAUGUUUUGUGAUACGUGCACACACAGCUCUAACACUUACAUGACAU